rnacentral:rRNA from 1 species
AUCAUUACCAGAGUUUUACAACUCCCAACCCUUCUGUGAACCUACCCAUAGUUGCUUCGGCGGACCCGCCCAGCGUCCGGACGGCCCAGCGCCGGCCCGCGACCUGGACCCAGGCGGCCGCCGGGGACCACGCAACCCUGUAUCUGUCAGCCUCUCUGAAUCCGCCGCAAGGCAACACAAACGAAUCAAAACUUUCAACAACGGAUCUCUUGGUUCUGGCAUCGAUGAAGAACGCAGCGAAAUGCGAUACGUAAUGUGAAUUGCAGAAUUCCGUGAAUCAUCGAAUCUUUGAACGCACAUUGCGCCCGCCAGCAUUCUGGCGGGCAUGCCUGUUCGAGCGUCAUUUCAACCCUCGACGUCCCCCGGGACUCGGCCGGCAGACCCCGCCCUGAAAUGGAGUGGCGGCCCGUCCGCGGCGACCUNUGCGCAGUACAAGCACUCGCACCGGGAACCCGACGCGGCCCGCCGUGAAACCCCCAACCUCUGAACGUUGACCUCGGAUCAGGUAGGACU